CAGCCGCCGCGGGAAUACGGAGGGGGCUAGCGUUGUUCGGAAUUACUGGGCGUAAAGCGCACGUAGGCGGCUUUGUAAGUCAGAGGUGAAAGCCUGGAGCUCAACUCCAGAAUUGCCUUUGAGACUGCAUCGCUUGAACGUCGGAGAGGUGAGUGGAAUUCCGAGUGUAGAGGUGAAAUUCGUAGAUAUUCGGAAGAACACCAGUGGCGAAGGCGGCUCACUGGACGACUGUUGACGCUGAGGUGCGAAAGCGUGGGGAGCAAACAGGAUUAGAUACCCCUGUAGUCCCUGUCUCUUAUAC
rnacentral:rRNA from 1 species